rnacentral:rRNA from 1 species
GAUGAACGCUGGCGGCGUGCCUAAUACAUGCAAGUCGAACGAACAGACGAGGAGCUUGCUCCUCUCACGUUAGCGGCGGACGGGUGAGUAACGCGUGGAUAACCUCCCUAUAAGUCUGGGAUAACUACGGGAAACCGGAGCUAAUACCGGAUAAUAUACUGCACCGCAUGGUUCUAUAGUGAAAGACGGUUUUGCUGUCACUAAUAGAUGGAUCUCCGCGGCUUUAGCUGGUUGUUACGGUAACGGCCUACAAAGGCAAGGAUGCGUAGCCGACUUGCUGGGGGGAUCGCCCACAUGGGAACUGGAACACGCACAAGACUCCUACGGGAGGAACCAGAAGGGAACCUUCCGCAAGGGGGGAAAGCCUGACGAAGCAAGGCGGCGUAGGUGAUAAAGGUCUCCGGUUCUUAAAACCCGGUUUUUGGGUAGAAACAGUUUUGGAAUGAACAGUGCACUUCGUGACGGUAACUAAUCAGAAAGCCACGGCUAACUACGUG